AUAAGCAAAAUAAGGGCGUAUGGGGGAUGCCUAGGCUCUCAGAGGCGAUGAAAGGCGUGAUAAGCUGCGAAAAGUUACGGGGAUUGGCACACACGAUACGAUCCGUAAAUACCUGAAUGGGGCAACCCACUAUGUUGAAGACAUAGUACACCGAUAGGUGGGCAAACCCGCUGAACUGAAACAUCUAAGUAGGCGGAGGAGAAGAAAACAAAAGUGAUUCCGUAAGUAGUGGCGAGCGAACGCGGAUUAGCCCAAACCAAUGUUGUUACGGCAAUGUUGGGGUUGUAGGACCACGACAUUUCUUGCACAAAGAACUAGAAUCUACUGGAAAGUAGGACCAAAGAGGGUGAUAGUCCCGUAUAGGUAAUGAGUGUAAAGGAUAGUGGUAUCCUGAGUAGGGCGGGGCACGUGAAACCCUGUCUGAAUUUGGCGGGACCAUCCGCUAAGGCUAAAUACUCCUGAGAGACCGAUAGUGAACCAGUACCGUGAGGGAAAGGUGAAAAGAACCGUGAAUAACGGAGUGAAAUAGAUCCUGAAACCAUACGCUUACAAGCGGUCGGAGCCCUUUAGUGGGGUGACGGCGUGCCUUUUGCAUAAUGAGCCUACGAGUUAACGUUGCUGGCAAGGAUAAGUGGUUAAGUCACGGAUCCGUAGCGAAAGCGAGUCUGAAUAGGGCGCUUUAGUCAGUAGUGUUAGACGCGAAACCGUGUGAUCUACCCAUGGGCAGGAUGAAGCUGUGGUAACACAUAGUGGAGGUCCGAACCGGUUGACGUUGAAAAGUCUUCGGAUGACCUGUGGGUAGGGGUGAAAGGCCAAUCAAACUCGGAAAUAGCUCGUACUCCCCGAAAUGCAUUUAGGUGCAGCGCUGGAUUUAAGUUAUAUAGAGGUAGAGCUACUGAUUGGAUGCGGGGGCUUCACCGCCUACCAAUUCCUGACAAACUCCGAAUGCUAUAUAAUGUUUACCAGCAGUGAGGGCUUGGGUGCUAAGGUCCAAGUCCGAGAGGGAAAGAACCCAGACCAUCAGCUAAGGUCCCCAAAUCUAUACUAAGUUGAAAGAACGAGGUUUGUCUGCCCAGACAGCUAGGAUGUUGGCUUGGAAGCAGCCAUUCAUUUAAAGAGUGCGUAACAGCUCACUAGUCGAGCGGACGAGCAUGGAUAAUAAUCGGGCAUAAGUAUAGUACCGAAGCUAUGGAUUUGUAUUAUAUACAAGUGGUAGGGGAGCAUUCUAACAGGGUAGAAGGUGUAUCGUAAGGUAUGCUGGACUGGUUAGAAAAGAAAAUGUAGGCAUAAGUAACGAUAAUGCGGGCGAGAAACCCGCACACCGAAAGACUAAGGUUUCCACAGCUAUGCUAAUCAGCUGUGGGUUAGUCGGGACCUAAGGCGAACCCGAAAGGGACAGUCGAUGGACAACGGGUUAAUAUUCCCGUACUACUUAUUACUGUGAUGGGGUGACGGAGUGAUGAAAGCGCCGCGAACUGACGGAAUAGUUCGUUGAAGUACCUACCUAUAAGAUGCGCAGGCAAAUCCACGCGUCUUGGGGAAAUACGAUAGUACUCGGAGACUUCGGUCAAAGAGAUAGUGCGCCUAAGGGCUUCCAAGAAAAACCUCUAAACUUCAGGUAAUAAGUACCCGUACCGCAAACCGACACAGGUAGUCGAGGAGAGAAUCCUAAGGUGCUCGAGAGAUUCAUGGCUAAGGAAUUAGGCAAAAUAGACCCGUAACUUCGGGAGAAGGGUCGCCAGCAGCAAUGCUGGCCGCAGUGAAGAGGUCCAGGCGACUGUUUAUCAAAAACACAGGGCUCUGCAAAAUCGUAAGAUGAAGUAUAGGGCCUGACACCUGCCCGGUGCUGGAAGGUUAAGAGGAGAUGUUAUCUUCGGAGAAGCAUUGAAUUGAAGCCCCAGUAAACGGCGGCCGUAACUAUAACGGUCCUAAGGUAGCGAAAUUCCUUGUCGGGUAAGUUCCGACCUG
rnacentral:rRNA from 1 species